rnacentral:pre_miRNA from 1 species
CUUGAGGGGGAUGUUGGCUGGCUCGACACAAUUACUCCUAUUUAUAUAUAGUCUUGUUUGGGUUUUUUGUUUUUUCAUCUAUCUGUUUGAUGAUAUGAUGAAAAAACAUAACAAAGAUUCAAAUAAUGGGAGUGAAGGGGUCGGACCAGGCUUCAUUCCUCUCAAA